AGCCUCUUGGUGUGCGCGUCAUGGCCGUCGGCACCGCGGUCCCGUCCUCUUCCGCUUGGCCCCAGAAAGUUUCGGUUCUGCCCGGCGGUGGACCCACGAGCGCGUGCCACCAUGGAGUCUGACCACUGCUGAGCAGACAGCCACCGAGGGCCGAAAUUCUGAGCCUUCCUCUGGACCCAGGCAGGAGACACACAGACAAGAAAGGCAAACUCACCAUGGCCUCCACCAAUGCAGAGAGCCAGCUCCAGAGAAUCAUCCGAGACUUGCAAGGUAUGGUAGGUUGCUGGGCAGGCUGAGUUUGGUUUUGAGGGACUUGUGGCAGGGCUUUUUGCUGUUGCCAGUUGAAAUUCAACCCUUUCAUUUUUGUUCACACAACGAGUAAUUGGAGUCCUCAGGUCACAUCAUAUUGAAAUAUUUGGGUCUCAAAUAUCCACCUUGUGUAAGGCUUGGAAAGCUUGCCUGGUUUCCUUUCAGAGAACUGUAAAGCCAGUUUGUAAACAAAAUCAUACACCCGGCUCCAGGACUGGGUCUGAUUUCCAUUAGUG
rnacentral:sRNA from 1 species